UGAAAUCUUAUCCCCAAAACCUCACGUCUCAACUCUAAACCCUAAAACCUAAACUCUAAACCCUAAACUCUAAAUUAUAAACCCUAAACCCCACCCCUUGAGUGCUAUUUUUGUGACUUUUGGACUUGAGUGCUAGUUUGGGAACAAAAACUUGAUUUAGUGUUAUUUUGGUCUUUUUCUCUUUUUAAAAUACAAAUUAUAUACCUAUUAAACAUAACUACCAUUAAAAGUUUAUACUAUUAAUAGAAUUAUAUGUGGUAAUGAUCACAUUUGAAUAAUCUAUCACAUAUUCAUAUGGAUUUAUUGUUAGAGCAAUUAUAUAAUAGAUUAUGAGAAAAUAAUAAAUGAAUUCAUUUAAAUUAUGUAAAGUAUUUUUAUAGUUAGAGAAAUAUAAGUUAAGACCAAAUAAAUACUUAAGUCUAAUGAAAUGGUCCAACAACCUUGUUUAAGUAGAUUUUUUAGGAGUGAUUCCCUUUUAAUAGUAUAGAUAAGAAACAUAACCAAUAACAUUAUAGAUUUACACAAUAUAUAACACUAAAAUGUAAAUUGUAUCUUUGAAAGUUUUGUGAUGGUAUAUGUUAUAUAUUUAUAAAAUAAAAAUCUACCCGCACAUAAAAAAAACCAGUGUGGUAUGAAAAGAUCUUCGACAUAGUUUAAGUACUAUCUUCAUGCAAUAAUUUUCAUAAAGUUGACUAUGGUGUAUGUGAAUUUGUCAAACCUUUAUAUUUAAAUUGUUAACCGUAAAAUCGUCGAUAUAUUAACUUUUUUUUUUAUCAGUGUUAAAAAGGCGCUAUUAGGCUACAAUGUACUGUACAUGGUAUUAUGGUUAUGUUUGAAAGAAGGCAACCAACAUAAUGAUGACCCUAAACUACUACAUAUAUUGGGUCUGAGGGAUCGUAAGUAAUUAAAAAUAAGCCCAUAUUAUAGCUGUAAAGGCCCAAACGUUUUAACUAGCCCGGCCUGUUUAGAGGAAUCGUGAUCGGUGUUUUCUUCCGACCAAAUAUUUCAGAUAAGCAGAAGACGAGAGAGAUUGCCGAAGCCGAGGAAGCUAACGAUUAAGAGGGUAACCAAAUGUGAAAUGGAACUGUAGAAACAACCAUGGGUUGUUCGAUUUCCUGAAGAAGCAAAGGGUGCCUUGUUGUGCGGCUGCUAAGCUUCAGUGAGUCACACCGUGAUAUUAAGAUUUAUGGAAGGCCAUUGACUAUCAAGUAUCAACAUAAGCUUUCUUAGCAAGGACAGUUAGAUGAACCACACUUGUAAUAAUAAGAUUAGAGGGUUAUUAACUUGUAAGUCACACUUUCUUAGCAAAUCUCAUUACAAUUAACUCAAGCGUGUUACAUCAAACUUAGAAACUAAUCCCUUCUCAAGGGUACAUUAAUACAUCACCCAAGAUAAAUACACUU